GCAAAUUUUGGUAUUUUGAAUGAAUUAGGUCUUACUCUUGUUCAGUAGGCUUUUAUUUGAUUAUUGGGUAAAUUACAUAAGAAUGGACCUACUGGUCUAGUGGUUAAAUGGUGUGUUAUUAUGGUGGAGGUCAUGUGUUCGAAUCCCUAUGCAGGUAAGGGUAUUUUUUUUUGCUCAGAUUUUGGGAUAGAGUUUUGUAAUAAGGGAUUCUAAAUAGUGGAUGUGUAGCGGGAAUUAGGGGAGAAGAUUAAGGGAUUUCGGGGGUUAUCGGGAUUUUAUUUUAUUUUUUUCACAUAACCGAAUUUUGACUCUCUUUUCCAAAAAAAAAUUCGGCCAUCUAUUCUUCUCCCUCUCCUCUUGCCAAAAUUUUCUGAGAUUUUCCAUCUUUUUCUUAUUUUUCUUCCUCUUGAUUUUUCCUUAAUCCAUUUAUUUUCCUUCGUUUUCGCAGGCGGUUAGUGCUUGUUCAGUUU
rnacentral:lncRNA from 1 species